UACAGAGGGUGCUAGCGUUGUUCGGAAUCAUUGGGCGUAAAGGGCGUGUAGGCGGUUUGUUAAGUCAUGUGUGAAAUCCCUCGGCUCAACCGGGGAACGACGCAUGAAACUGGCAAGCUAGAGUACCAAAGAGGGGGGUGGAAUUCCCGGUGUAGCGGUGAAAUGCGUAGAUAUCGUAAGGAAGACCAGUGGCGAAGGCGGGUCUCUGGACAGUUCCUGACGCUGAGGCACGAAGGCCAGGGGAGCAAACAGG
rnacentral:rRNA from 1 species